AGUGAACGCUGGCGGUAGGCCUAACACAUGCAAGUCGAACGGCAGCACAGUAAGAGCUUGCUCUUACGGGUGGCGAGUGGCGGACGGGUGAGGAAUACAUCGGAAUCUACUUUUUCGUGGGGGAUAACGUAGGGAAACUUACGCUAAUACCGCAUACGACCUACGGGUGAAAGCAGGGGAUCUUCGGACCUUGCGCGAUUGAAUGAGCCGAUGUCGGAUUAGCCAGUUGGCGGGGUAAAGACCCACCAAGGCGACGAUCCGUAGCUGGUCUGAGAGGAUGAUCAGCCACACUGGAACUGAGACACGGUCCAGACUCCUACGGGAGGCAGCAGUGGGGAAUAUUGGACAAUGGGCGCAAGCCUGAUCCAGCCAUACCGCGUGGGUGAAGAAGGCCUUCGGGUUGUAAAGCCCUUUUGUUGGGAAAGAAAAGCAGCAGGUUAAGACCCCGCUGUUCUGACGGUACCCAAAGAAUAAGCACCGGCUAACUUCGU
rnacentral:rRNA from 1 species